ACAGCCCAAAUUCUCCAGUCGUUUAUAUGUACCCUGUAGAAUCGAAUUUGUGUGAGCACCUCAAUCACAAAUUCGUCUCUAGGGGAGUAUAUGGACGAUGCAGAGCUUUGUUAAAGGU
rnacentral:pre_miRNA from 11 species